UACGUAGGGACCAAGCGUUGUUCGGAUUUACUGGGCGUAAAGGGCGCGUAGGCGGCUUAACAAGUCACUUGUGAAAUCUCCGGGCUUAACUCGGAACGGCCAAGUGAAACUGUCAAGCUAGAGUGCAGAAGGGGCAAUCGGAAUUCUUGGUGUAGCGGUGAAAUGCGUAGAUAUCAAGAGGAACACCUGAGGUGAAGACGGGUUGCUGGGCGUGACACUGACGCUGGAGGCGCGAAGCCAGGGAGCAAACGGG
rnacentral:rRNA from 1 species